UACGUAGGUGGCAAGCGUUAUCCGGAAUUACUGGGCGUAAAGCGCACGCAGGCGGUCUUUUAAGUUUGACGUGAAAGCUCCCGGCUUAACUGGGAGAGGUCGUUGAAGACUGGAAGACUUGAGGCAAUGAGAGGGGUGUAGAAUUCCCGGUGUAGUGGUGGAAUGCGUAGAUAUCGGGGGGAAUACCAGUGGCGAAAGCGGCACCCUAGCGUUAGUCUGUCGCUCAUGUGCGAAAGCGUGGGGAGCGAACGGG
rnacentral:rRNA from 1 species